AUGUUAAAGCAAUUCACCUGUGCCACUGGAAGGAGUGGAUCCUGGUUUCAUCCCUCCCUACGCCUCAUUUAAGGGCUGUCUGCCACAAGGGAAGGAUCUCUAUCUGGAGAUCCUUCCUUUUGGAGUACUUGAUGAGCUCAGAUCCUUAGAAAAGAUUUUUCUCUGAAGAAGAUCAAACAGCCAAUAGAGAAGUCAUCCAUUUUAUUUUUCUAGUGGGACACAGAAACUUCUGAAGGAAGAAAUGAAGUUGUUGAAGUUUGCAAUCUGGGAAGGGUUUUCCAAAUAUUGCAAUGACAAAACUUGAUGAAGAAUCCUUUACACAUUGAAAGUGGAAAAAAUGGAAUAUCCAUUCACUUAAGGAAGUAUGUGUUUCACCUGAGAGCUAAUACAACUCAUGAUAGACAGAAAGUCCAGCAACCAGUAUUCACCAACAGAAAGGAGGAAUUUUUAUUUUGUGGUAUUUAAGAGUGACUUUAUUCAUACAAUCUGUACUACUAAAGCAUUUGUCCCACUCUGAGUGAUCAAGACACUAAGAAGUUAUAUGAGGGUUUAUUUAUUUUUUUUUAUUUUUUUUUUUUAAGGAAGAAGUUAUUAAGAAAAUUUUCACAAGUCAUAGAAACAAAGAAAGAUUAACAUGAGUGGCCUUUUCUAGAGUCCAAUUUGGGGAAUUAUUUUUGGCACUGGAUUCUGCUUAUUUGUAUACUUUAUUUUUUGCAUAAAUAUUUAUGAAGUUUAGCUCAUUCUAAUGUGAAUAUGUGGAUAAUGUCAAUCAGACAUGUCUUUGAAAAAAUUCAUACUUGGAACAUUAUGAAAAAUAUUUUUUUACACAUUAUAUUGUAAUUGUACUUUUAUGAAGUGUUUUUGAUCAGAGAACAAUGCUUCCUUUAGCAGGGAAUACAUUUGAAUUUGCAGAACCUAUCAGAACAGUGUGUGUUCAAGUUGAAAAUGAGUUAAACAAUUUCACAUUAAAAUUAAUAUAAAAUAUUUAAAUGUCCUUUUUACUAACUUUACUUUUACUGUGCUGCUCGACAUUAACAGAAUAAGUAGAGCCUGAGGACUGUCACAAAAUUUUCUUUUUAUGGUAAGAAAUAAUAAAAAUAACUGUG
ensembl:lncRNA